UGACGAUCAUUUACUAUGUUCAAGAUUAAUAAAAAUCAUAGGCUGGUUAUCUGUCCAGAUAGAAAGUGUAAUUUGUGUUGCAAAAUGAAGCUAUGAUUAAGAUCGAAGGUAAACAAACAUAUGAGUAGUAAAUGAGUUCUGUGCAAAAUUAAUGUUAAGGAUAUAUAUUACAGUGAGGAUUAACAUGUAAGUAGGCAUGUUACUAACAGGAACAACGUGAUUUAGAGUUUAAAAUGCCAUCUUGCUACGCUAGGCCAACAACGAAAACCACAGACGAGAGUAAUGCCAUAAUUUCACCAGGGAAAAUGAACCCAAACGAAAACUUUAUAAAUGUGAUGGACAGUAAUGUAAACUAUAGUAACGUCUUCAGUAACAGUACCAACUUCAAUCUAUCACAAUUAAGUAACGUAGAUAGUUUAUAUCGUAACGGUAGUUUUACGAAUGGUACAUUUUCCGGAGACAAAUACGAAGACAGUUUUUUGUUCAGGGAGUUUGGAAUGAUCAGAUUAGCAGUGCUUGGGAUUGUGAUUAUGGUACUUAUAUUAUCGACUUGUAAAAUUGUGUUCAAAAUGUUUUCUCGAUCCUUACAUAAUAAACGAGAUGAUGAUUGCUGAAAAAGUAAUCAAUUUCGUUUAUACUCAACUGUCAUGAAAUAUAAGUUCCUUCAUAAUAUAAGUUCCUUAGGAAUAUAAGUUCCAAGUGGAAGAAAUAUUCUGUAACACUAUUUCCACUAGAAACAAAUAUUACAGAAUUUGUUCCUUACGGAAUAAAUGGUAUAGAAUAUUUGUUCCGACAAGAACAGAUAUUAUGGCAUUGUUUAAAACAAAGUUUCCAGUGGAACUUCUGUUAGGUGGAACAAAUAUACGUUGACAACAUCACUCUUCUUGUGCAAAAUGAAUUGAUAGGACAAAGAAUAUGUAUUAAGCAGACUAUCUUUAUCGUACCGGCAUCGUUAUUUACAUGAACACAGCUGUACUGAACAAAGACAAUUUUUUUGUUAAUAUUGUCUUUGACAUUAGAAGUAUAAAUAAAUAUGCCUUUGUAACUCUA